GCCAGUUUGGCUCAGUGGAUAGAGCAUCAGCCUGCCAACUGAAGGGUCCCAGAUUUGAUUCUGGUAAAGGGCA
rnacentral:tRNA from 1 species